rnacentral:misc_RNA from 1 species
GAAAAAGGCCGGGGAGUCAAAAUCCCGACUCAAAUGAGAAAAAGAAGAUGGUAAGAGUAAUCUCCCGAUUGCAUAGACGAAUAUGCAGAAAACCCUUUUACUUCCAAUGGAGAAAUCUCUCCUACAUAACCCAUCAGCUACCUUUAGACCCUCCUCAGAUUGACCAUAACAUAGCCUCAGUUCAGUACAUUUUUUUGAACCCAUGUUUUUAUCUUCUGGGUCUCUGCAAAAACAUCCAUUCUCUCAAGAAAAUUCAUGGGUUGCUCAUUGUUGAUGGUCUUGCUGGUGAUCUUUUAUGCAGUACCAAAUUGGUUAGCUUGUAUGGUUCGUUUGGGUGCAUUGAUGAUGCGCGCUUGUUGUUUGAUAGAAUACCUAACCCAGACCUUUAUUCUUGGAAAGUGAUGCUAAGGUGGUAUUUUUUGAACGAUUUGUAUUGGGAGAUUAUUGGACUUCAUACCCGUAUGAGAAUGUGCCUGAGAGAGCAUGAUAAUGUUGUUUUCUCGAUUGUGUUGAAGGCGUGCAGUGAAUUGCGAAAUAUUGAUGAAGGGAGGAAAAUACACUGUCAAAUUAUUAAAGCAGUUAAUCCUGAUAGUUUCGUGCUGACUGGUCUUGUAGAUAUGUAUGCAAAGUGUGGAGAGAUUGAGUGUUCUCGUGGUGUGUUUGAUGAAUGUCUCGAUAGAAAUGUGGUCUCUUGGACUUCAAUGAUUGCGGGGUAUGUACAGAACGAUUGCCCAGUGGAAGGUUUGAUUUUGUUCAAUAGAAUGAGAGAAGGGUUGAUUGCGGCUAACCAAUUUACCGUAGGCAGCUUAGUUACUGCAUGCACAAAAUUAGGGGCUUUGCAUCAAGGGAAGUGGGUUCAUGGAUACGCAAUCAAGAACGGCGUGGAACUUAAUUCUUACGUUGUGACAGCACUUCUAGACAUGUAUGUCAAGUGUGGAGUCAUUAGAGAUGCUAGGUCUUUAUUUGAUAAGCUAUCUAGUAUUGAUCUCGUCUCCUGGACGGCUAUGAUUGUUGGCUAUACCCAGAGUGGCUCCUCUAAUGAGGCUUUGAAGUUGUUUAUGGAUAAGAAAUGGGUUGAUAUCUCGCCCAAUAAUGUUACCAUUGUAAGUGUAUUAUCAGCAUGUGCACAGUUGGGCAAUUUGAAUUUGGGAAGGUCAGUUCAUGGUCUUGGUAUUAAACUUGGGUUUGAGGAACCUGCUGUUGUAAAUGCUCUGGUGGACAUGUAUGCAAAAUGCCGUAUGAAUAGAGAUGCCCGUUACAUAUUUGAGACCGUUUCAGACAAGGAUGUUGUUGCUUGGAAUUCUAUUAUUUCUGGGUAUAAUCAGAAUGGGUCUGCAUAUGAAGCCCUUGAAUUGUUUCGUCAGAUGAGAAUGGACUCUCUCUUGCCUGAUGCAGUUACAUUGGUAAGCGUUUUCUCAGCAUGUGCUUUCAUUGGCGCUCUUCGAGUUGGUUCUUCUCUCCAUGCUUACUCUAUAAAGGGGGGUCUUUUAUCUUCGAAUGUCUAUGUUGGCACUGCACUUUUGACCUUUUAUGCCAAAUGUGGGGAUGCUAAAUCCGCGCGUACAAUUUUUGAUGGUAUGGGAGAGAAAAACACUGUCACAUGGAGUGCAAUGAUUGGUGGUUAUGGAAUUCAAGGGGAUGGUGGUGGGUCCCUUGCCCUUUUCAAUGAUAUGUUGGGGGAAGAAUUGAAACCAAAUGAAGUAAUCUUCACAGCCAUUUUAUCUGCAUGUAGUCAUACAGGGAUGGUUGGGGAGGGAUGGAAUCUAUUCAUUUCGAUGUGCCAAGAAUAUAACUUUGUGCCUUCCAAUAAGCAUUAUGCAUGCAUGGUUGAUCUAUUGGCUCGUUCUGGGAGGCUUGAAGAAGCCUGGGACUUCAUUGAGAAAAUGCCAGUUCAACCGGAAGUUAGUUUGUUUGGAGCAUUUCUCCAUGGAUGUGGGCUGCAUUCAAGGUUUGAUCUUGGAGAGAUAGCAAUCAGGAGAAUGCGAGAGUUACAUCCUGACAAAGCUUGUUAUUAUGUGCUUAUGUGUAAUUUGUACGCUUCUGAUGGAAGAUGGAAUCAGGUCAAGGAGGUAAGAGAGUUGAUGAAGCACAAAGGAUUAAUCAAAACCCCAGGGUGUAGCCUGAUGGAGAUGGAUACUGAUUAUGAUUUCUCAUUGCCUAGAGUUGCUUCUUUUUCAUAGACCAUGGUUUUACUUAAAAACACAAAUCAUGGGAUCAGCAGGGUCAAGGUUGCCAAAACAGGACGUAUUUAUUGUCAAUGUGGAGUUCACUAAAAGCCCUUCUGUUCAAUAAUGUAAAAUGUUUGAUUACAUGAGCUGGCCCCAAGUACUAGGGUGAAAGAUUCUUAUCAAUGGAUCAAUAGAUCUGCAGGCAUGGGAUGCAUGAUACAAGCAGAUGUUGAGUUUCUAAGAAAACAUAAAGUAUGAUCAAUUGAGGAGAUGAUAAUAGGACAUGCGAUGCCAGUUCUUCUAAAAACUUCUGUUUUGAGGAUAUUCUAUUGUUGAUAUUACCCUAAAGUUCUUUGGUUCUUGAAACAUGGCCACGAAGGAGCAAGAAAGCUUCCUAUCUGGGUGAUCACUUCUUGACAAGCUGAUGAGUAUGAUGAUGAUAUGAAAGUGAGUACAAGCUCCAAAGUGUAGCCAGGUAAUGUUGGCCAAGUUCAUGAACGCAAGCAAUGAGAACAGGCUCUGAAAUCGAUUGACCAUCGACUAGUGAUUGAGUUUAUAUCAAAAUAUCUACUGCCAAAUCUCAAAAAAUAGAAGAGAUGAUAAAUAAGAUUGGGUUAUAAAUUUGUAAUGCAUUCUGCCUUGGUUUCAUUAUUGGUGCAACUGGAUAAGUUACAUACUUGUUCCAGAGCCAAACUUUGAAAAUUUUCCAAAAGGCUGUACAUUUCUUUUAUUCGCCAAUGAGAUACAUCUCCUGCUCCAAAUCUAUAGAUUUUCUUUUCAAGUUCAAUUGUACUGUAUCCUGGGACCUUCUUCAGUCCUAUACAUUUCAUUACUGAUCUCACCUUCCUAGAUUCAUCCCAAUUACCAGCUUCUGCAUAAAUAUUAGACAAUAAGGUGUAAUAUCCAGUAUCAUCCGUCCUCGUGUCUAACAGAUCUCUUUCAAUUCGUCGGAUCAUAUCUAUUCUCUGGUGAAUUCGACAGCCAUUAAGUAAAGCACCCCAAAUGCAAGCUUCUGCAGGGAAUGGCAUUGAUUUUAUUAUUCUGUAGGCUUCACUGAGAUUACCAACACGACUUAGAAGGUCCACCAUACAAGCAAAGUGUUCUGAGCUAGGAUCGACGCCAAAAUCCUUCAUCAAGUUAAAAUAAAACUUGCCUUCUUCCACAUACCCUGCAUGACUGCAAGCUGAUAGAAUGUUCAUGAAGGUAAUGUCAUUUGGUUUUAUACCCAACCGAACCAUUUGAGUGAAGAGUGAUAUUGAGGCAUCAACAUUACCAUGCAUUCCAUAUCCAGCAAUCAUGACACUCCAUGACACCACACUCCUUUCUAACAUGCUAUCGAAAACUACUUGGGCUGUCUGAAGGUCUCCACACUUUGCAUACAUGUCAAUUAGAGCAGUAUCAACAUAAAGAUCCUUCUUUAUACCAUAGGUAAUGAGUUUGUGGUGAAGCCAUUUUCCCUUUUCAAGAUGUCCCAUCUGGGAGCAAGCCUGAAUUGCAGCUAAGAAGGUCACUUCAUUCAUGUCAAGACAGUUAAGAUACAUUUGAUCAAAGAGAUUAAUCGCUUCUGAUGAAUUACCAUUCUGACAAAAUCCACAAAUCAUAGAAUUCCAAGCUACAACACUCUUGAAUUGGAUCCUGUCAAAUAACAGGUAUGCUAAAUCCAUGAGACCACAUUUUGAGUACACAUCAAUUAGUGAAUUCAGGACAAACUCAUCCAGAAUGUGUCUUUUAAUGGCGUAACCAUGUAAUUGACGCCCAAGCUGUAGGAAACCCACAUUUGCACAGGCUGAGAUCGAGCUUGACAAGCUAAAAGAGUCUGGUAUUAGCCCUUGUGUCUGCAUCUGCACAAAUAGUGCUAAUGCCUCCAACAACAACCCGCGUGAAGCAUACAGUGAUAUGAGCAUAUUCCAUGAUACAAUAUUUCUCUUCCCAAUAGUAUGAAGAACAUUCUCACAAUACCUAAAUUGCCCACAUUUGGCAUAUAAUUCUAUUAAUGUUGGCCCUAAAGAACCAUCAUUAAGCUCCAUAUGCUUAGCAAUAUAACAAUGAACCGACUUCCCUUCUUUAAACAGGCUAAACCCAGCACAAGAACCUAGAACAGCCAUCAUGGUAACUGUAUUUGACUCCACUUUAGAUUCUAGCAUCUCAACAAAAACUUCUAGUGCCUCUUUAAAACGACCACCUCGAUUAUAGCAGGAAAUCAUAGCUGUCCAUGAAGCUACACUUUGGUUAAACAUAUUUACGAAGAUCCUCUCUGCACUAGAAAAAUCACCGCACUUGCUAUACAUUACAAUAAGAGAGUCAUCCAAAGGACCGUGACUUCCAAUUCUCCUCCUCACUACGUAACCAUGUAACGAUCUGGCUAGCCUCGAAAAACCCAGUUCACCGCAUGCCUCGGCAAUGCUAAGCAUUGUCACAGAAUCCAAUUCAACCCCUUUCAAUACCAGUGAGCGAAACAUCUCCAACCCUUCACUUGCCUCCCCAUUAUCAACAUAAGAGGAAAUAAUUGAACUCCACGAAAUCAAAUCUCUCACCGACAUAUUAUCAAACACCCUCCUGGCAUCAUUUGUGCAACCUAAAUCUCCAUACAUACCGAGAAGCGAGGUCUCAACAACAGCAUCAAUAUCAAAUCCACAUUUGAUUACUUUCCCAUGGACUUUUUCACCAAUUCCCAAAUCACCAAAACCAGCACAAGCUCUUAAAACUGAAGAAAAUAUGAAUUCGUUAAUCCGGAUUUCGUUGUACAGCAUUUGAUUAUACAGUGAAAUGGCCUCCCCAAAGAAAUGGGACCAUACAUGACACUUAAUGAGGACGCCCCACAUGAAAGAAUCGGGGUUAUGGAAGGUUUGAAAGACAAGUCUAGAGGAAUGAAGGGAACCCAUUUGAGAAUAGGACUCAAUAAGCUUGGUAGAAGCUUGGGUGUCAUUGUGGAGGCCGGUUACCAAGAGAUGUGCAUGGAGUUGGGUGAGAAGUCUUAAGCUUGCGCAGGACCUGCGCGAUUAAAGCUCAAGGCCAGCAGAAUAAAUUGGUCCUAAAUAGCUCCAAGGCCCACGCUGAGAUCGGCUCAUCGGCUACACGGCAUUUUAAUAAUUAUGGUACUAUAAAUUUGAGAAAUAAGAAAAACUUGAUGAAUUUGAGAUUGAGAAAAAUAAAAAUUGAAUGUAAUUAUUGUAUGAAAACAAUAAUUAUUUAGGAAUUUAGAGUAUAUAGAUAUGAGAAUAACUAGAAGAAUAAGAGGAGAAUUGAAAGCUUGAGAGUUGAGAUAUUGGAAGAACGAGGGAAGUAGAGAAAUGUUGAUGGGUGGGUAAUUAUAGGAUUUUUUUUUAAAUUUUUUUAUAGGAUUUAAAAAAAAAAUUAUUUUUUUAAUCUUUUCAAAGUAUCUCUAAAACUAGUGAUGAUAAACCAUAACACAUAAGAUGGUGAAAAGAUAGUCAAGCCGCGGACCUCAUGUGUUAUGGCUGUGAUAAAUAAACCAGUGAUUAUCUUUUCACCACCUUUGUGUUAUGGCUGUGAUGCGAUUGGGAACCUCAUGGACAUGCAAACGCCCAAGCCGAGGCAUAAGUUUCGAUUACUGAAGUUCUGUGCUUAAGAGCAUAAAUAAAAGUGAACGCAAAAGAACAUGUGAAUUGAUUUCUCCAAGUUGUUUCUCAUGUCUUCAAUGUAACUGGAACUACAACAUUGAGAAAGAAAGAGAGGUUGAGAAGUAUGGAAGGGAGGGAUUCAUAUGUUGAUCUACAUCAUAUACAAGGUAUUCUGGCAAUUCUGCCACAUUGCCUGGACAAUUAAAAGUCGAAUCUCCUGCAAAAAUGAACAAGAAACCAACAAUUUAUUGUUUAAAGGUUGCCUUUGCUGUCCUCGUCUGGUGGAUCAAUUGGCACUUCAUGACGAGGCCUGUUGUACUUUUCACGAAGCUGCUUAAUUGGGAUAAAAUCUCCUGCUGUAUCUGCCCCAUAGAAUAAGAAUGAUAUAUAGGGAUGAUCAAACCUGCCCAAAUCUGGUCUCUCAGGGCCUACUAAAUUUUCCUCAGCAACAUAAGCCACCAGUAGAUUGGGAUCCGCAUGUACAUCAACCAAAACCUGAUAAAAUGGCUGAUUAGUACCCCGAGACAACUUUUCAACCUGAGCAGUUUCCAUCCAUGAACUUGACUCACAGCAUGUUGGAUCCAUUCCACAAACCACAGCUCGAUAGCCUACAAUCAUAAUAUAGACUUCAGUAAUCAAAACAAUGAGGAAAAGAGAGAAAAUGAGGCCCAAAAAUGAAGAGAAGACAUCCCCUGAUCAACUUUAGUUUAGAUAUCAUGGAGCAUCCAAGAACUUCCAUAUGGUAUUCUGUAUGUACUAUGUUGGGGCUUUUUUCUAAUGUAAAAAAGGAAACCAUGUUAUCUUCAUACUAAGAUAAUCCAAUAAUGCCAAUAAAGUAUAAAUUGAAAUGCAGCCAGAGGCACUGGCAUCCUUCAAAGAGGAAACAGUGUCAACAGACAGAAAUGAACGUACAAAUCAAAUGUAUGAAGUUGCUGUACAUGAAUUAUUGACUUAUUAGGAUUAUUAACAUAUUUAAAGAAAGGCUAAUGUAGAGAUGUUGGAGUUUGUUAUAAAUGCAAGCUCUACACUGCCAUGGGCUUGUGGAGAGAGUGGAGAGCAAUUGGUUGUCUUGUCACAAUGGGAUAAAUAAAUUCCCAAUUCUACAAUUGCAAUAUGAUUUUUCUUAUCUUCAAGCGUCUACAUAAUCUGUAGGAAAGUUUAUUUCAACUGGUUAACAUCGAAUUCACAAUCUUGAUGGACUUUAUUGCACAAAUUGGACCUCAGGUAGGAGGUGAAACUGCAAACAAAUAAAAGAAUAACAUGCAGUGGAGACCAUGUUUACAUACCAAAAAUCUUGUGAGACACUUUUUGUCCUAAACGAAAUGCAUACUGUGCAUUUUCAUAGGCAAGAGCUUUUGCUGAUGCAGCUAAAGACUCAGCCUCCAAUUUGGAAAUUUGAUCCCGUAAUUGAGCUGCCAUAGCAUAAUUCUCAUUCUCAAUUGCAUUCUGCAGGUCUGCACGUAGUCGUAUGAUACUUAAAGCCUUAUCUUGAGCUUCACUCUUUGAGGAUGAUCCCCUUGUUGCUUCCUGUUGUCGAAUAACCUCUUCUUCAACCUCGGUAAGCUUGUUUCUAAGUUGUUGUGCAAUGUCAUACUGCUCCAUAUUCAGAGCGUACUGAACUCGAGUUGCUAAGUCAAGCUGAAAAAAGAAAAUCAAGAUAUCCUCAUUAGCAUUUUCACUGCGCUCACGGCUUGCAUCCCACUCUUGGUUGCCCCCUUUGCUGAACAGCCAUCCAGCUUCAACCCUUAAAUUUCCCCCUCUUAAUAUGUUGGGGUUACCCGUAAGGAAUAAGCUUGGAACAAAUUGAUGCGAAGGACAUUGCUUAUCAGUCCCGAAGGCUCUACGGGUUUUCCUUAUUAGAUUGAAUUGCCUCCUCCAUGAUGGGGUAGAAUCAUAAAUCCCACAGUUUCUAGAUACUGUUAGAGUGCUUAAUGACAGACUUUGCACCAUUUCUUUCAGGUAAUGAACUCCCCCUUCACAGCAUUAAAAGGCAGAGUAAAUUGCAGAAGCAAACGGGUUGAGCUAAGGAUGCCAGGCUUUGUGUUCUCGAGAAAAAGAAUCUUAAGACCGAUGCUGCGUCGCGGGAUUAGCUGCAACAGCAUCAAGCGUCUCACGCCGCAGAAUACUGACACGUUGC